CUGCAGCCCGAGUGGUGAUCGAUUUUAUUGAGCCUAAAGCGUCCGUAGCCGGACUAGUAAACCCUUGGGUAAAUUGGGCAGCUUAACUGCCCAAAUUCCGAGGGGACUGCUAGUCUUGGGACCGGGAGAGGUCAGAGGUACUCAAGGGGUAGGGGCUAAAUCCUGUAAUCCUUUGGGGACCACCAGUGGCGAAGGCGUCUGACUAGAACGGAUCCGACGGUAAGGGACGAAACCCUGGGGCGCGAACCGGAUUAGAUACCCGAGUAGUCC
rnacentral:rRNA from 1 species